GAUGAACGCUGGCGGCGUGCCUAAUACAUGCAAGUCGAGCGAACGGACGAGAAGCUUGCUUCUCUGAUGUUAGCGGCGGACGGGUGAGUAACACGUGGAUAACCUACCUAUAAGACUGGGAUAACUUCGGGAAACCGGAGCUAAUACCGGAUGAUAUUUUGAACCGCAUGGUUCAAAAGUGAAAGGCGGUCUUGCUGUCACUUAUAGAUGGAUCCGCGCUGCAUUAGCUAGUUGGUAAGGUAACGGCUUACCAAGGCAACGAUGCAUAGCCGACCUGAGAGGGUGAUCGGCCACACUGGAACUGAGACACGGUCCAGACUCCUACGGGAGGCAGCAGUAGGGAAUCUUCCGCAAUGGGCGAAAGCCUGACGGAGCAACGCCGCGUGAGUGAUGAAGGUCUUCGGAUCGUAAAACUCUGUUAUUAGGGAAGAACAUAUGUGUAAGUAACUGUGCACAUCUUGACGGUACCUAAUCAGAAAGCCACGGUUAACUACGUG
rnacentral:rRNA from 1 species